rnacentral:rRNA from 1 species
UACGGAGGAUCCGAGCGUUAUCCGGAUUUAUUGGGUUUAAAGGGUGCGCAGGCGGGAGAUUAAGUCGGCGGUGAAAUUUUGCAGCUCAACUGUAAAAGUGCCUUCGAAACUGGUUUCCUUGAGUGUAGAUGAAGUAGGCGGAAUUUGUGGUGUAGCGGUGAAAUGCAUAGAUAUCACGAGGAACUCCGGUUGCGCAGGCAGCUUACUAAACUACUACUGACGCUCAGGCACGAAGGCGUGGGGAGUCAAACAGGAUUAGAUACCCUCGGUAGGU